UACGUAGGGGGCAAGCGUUGUCCGGAUUUAUUGGGCGUAAAGAGCGUGUAGGCGGCUUUACAGGUCCGUUGUGAAAACUCGAGGCUCAACCUCGAGACGCCGGUGGAAACCGUAAAGCUAGAGUCCGGAAGAGGAGAGUGGAAUUCCUGGAUGUAGCGGUGAAAUGCGCAGAUAUCAGGAGGAACACCCGUGGCGAAAGCGGCUCUCUGGGACGGUACUGGACGCUGAGACGCGAAAGCCGUGGGGAGCAAACAGG
rnacentral:rRNA from 1 species